GCCCCCAUAUACAUGAUGUCCUCGAACCCUGUCAGCCAAUUACAACAGCUAUUGAUGUGGGGCCAACACAUGGCAUCAAAUGUAUGCAUAAAGGAUGGAAACGGUGUCUGUGUGUGGUUUCACUGGGGAAAAAAAAAAAAAAAACAUCUUUUGUUUGGUCUUUGGUAUUUUGAGAAAAUUGCACUGGAUGAGACCAUCAGCUGUCCAAACAGUAAAAUGUUCGGUAAAUGU